rnacentral:rRNA from 1 species
AGUUUGAUCCUGGCUCAGGACGAACGCUGGCGGCGUGCUUAACACAUGCAAGUCGAACGGAAAGGCCCUGCUUUUGUGGGGUGCUCGAGUGGCGAACGGGUGAGUAACACGUGAGUAACCUGCCCUUGACUUUGGGAUAACUUCAGGAAACUGGGGCUAAUACCGGAUAGGAGCUCCUGCUGCAUGGUGGGGGUUGGAAAGUUUCGGCGGUUGGGGAUGGACUCGCGGCUUAUCAGCUUGUUGGUGGGGUAGUGGCUUACCAAGGCUUUGACGGGUAGCCGGCCUGAGAGGGUGACCGGCCACAUUGGGACUGAGAUACGGCCCAGACUCCUACGGGAGGCAGCAGUGGGGAAUAUUGCACAAUGGGCGGAAGCCUGAUGCAGCAACGCCGCGUGCGGGAUGACGGCCUUCGGGUUGUAAACCGCUUUCGCCUGUGACGAAGUGUGAGUGACGGUAAUGGGUAAAGAAGCACCGGCUAACUACGUGCCAGCAGCCGCGGUGAUACGUAGGGUGCGAGCGUUGUCCGGAUUUAUUGGGCGUAAAGGGCUCGUAGGUGGUUGAUCGCGUCGGAAGUGUAAUCUUGGGGCUUAACCCUGAGCGUGCUUUCGAUACGGGUUGACUUGAGGAAGGUAGGGGGAGAAUGGAAUUCCUGGUGGAGCGGUGGAAUGCGCAGAUAUCAGGAG